rnacentral:rRNA from 1 species
AUUGAACGCUGGCGGCAGGCUGAACACGUGCACGACGAGCGGCGUGAUGGUGCUUGCACUAUCACUUAGCGGCGGACGGGUGAGUAAUGCUGAGGACUCUGCCUAUUAGUGGGGGACAGCCCCUCGAAAGGGAUGCCAAUACCGCAUACGACCUACGGGAGACAGCAGGGGAGCACUUGUUACCGUGCGCUAUUAGAUGAGCCUACGUCGGAUUAGCUAGUUGGUGGGGUAAAGGCCUACCAAGGCGACGAUCGGUAAAGGGUCUGAGAGGAUGGACCGCGACGCGGGGACUGAGACACGGCCCAGACUCCUACGGGAGGCAGCAGUGGGGAAUAUGGGACAAUGGGGGGAACCCUGAUCCAGCCAUGCCGCGUGUGUGAAGAAGGCCUUAUGGUUGUAAAGCACUUUAAGCGAGGAGGAGGCUCUUUUGGUUAAUACCCAAGAUGAGUGGACGUUACUCGCAGAAUAAGCACCGGCUAACUCUGUGCCAGCAGCCGCGGUAA